GUGGAGAUAGAGCAAGGUGGGGAUGGUGGGGAUGAUAAGGAGGAUGGGGGUCAAGAGGAGGAUGAAUUAAGGGAAAAGGAGACCAAGAGGGUGAAGAGUGAUGAUAUGGUGUUAGAUGACAAAGAGGAGGGGAAGAUGGAGGGAAAUUUCGGUGGUGACAAUGGGAACCAAGGUAUGGAUGGGGUGCAGGAAAAGUUUUUCGGAGAAAUGGCUUCGAAAAUCAUUGAUGGGGCUGUUGUAAGUCUCUUAGAGGAGGUGUGUGAUAAAGUAAUGCAUGAGGAGGGGCAGCCGGCUGUGCAUGAAGGGGAAAUAGGACAGCGGGAGGUUGAAGGUGGGGAUGAUAUUGAGCAGGGUGAUGGAGAGGAAGAGGUGGGCAAGAUGAUAGAGGAGAAAAUAGUGCGGGCUGCAAUGGUUAAAGAGGUGGCGACUACACCAACUCGGGCUAGUGUAAGGCUAGCCUCAAGUGGAGAACACUCGGUGGAAAAGGCUACAAAGAGAAAGGCACGAAAGAACCUGGAGCCGCAGUCAGUUUGA
rnacentral:lncRNA from 1 species